rnacentral:rRNA from 1 species
UCCUACGGGAGGCAGCAGUGAGGAAUAUUGGUCAAUGGGCGGAAGCCUGAACCAGCCAAGUCGCGUGAGGGAAUAAGGCCCUACGGGUCGUAAACCUCUUUUGCCGGGGAGCAAGGGCGGGGACGUGUCCCGGCCAGGAGAGUACCCGGAGAAAAAGCAUCGGCUAACUCCGUGCCAGCAGCCGCGGUAAUACGGAGGAUGCGAGCGUUAUCCGGAUUUAUUGGGUUUAAAGGGUGAGUAGGCGGGGUUUUAAGUCAGCGGUAAAAAUUAGGGGCGCAACCCCGCCCGGACGUUGAAACUGGGGG